AUGUUAUUAUACACCUCUGGAACAGGUGGGAGUUGAUCGUGGGCCUCCUGGCUGAAAGGCGGGGAUAGACCACUGCACCACAACAGCCCUUUACGUAAAGCUAACGUGAUGACCAUUACACCACAGAAAGUGAAGCCCACUGCACCGGCUGUUCCCAGAAAACAACUUUUCAAGAUUCUUGGAUAAUUUCAGACACAAGAUGUGGCCAAUGUAGUACAUACCAGAGGAAAAGUGACUUUUGAUGUACAGUUUCCAAAAUUCAGAGAUGUGAUGAUUAGUCAAUACCUCUAAUAUUACUGUAUCAUGAGUCUACCAGAAUGGUACAAGGAGUAAAGAGGACCAAAAAUACAGCACAUCAACAUCAACAGGGAAAAAUACACCCUACAUACUUUCAUAGACCUGAGAGAAUGUUCACUCUACUAACCAUUUAUUUAAAAUCUUCACAGGAGUGAAGAGGACCAAAGUACAGGAUUUUAUUCUCAAUUCAAGGAAUAUUUACUUACGUUUGCA